rnacentral:lncRNA from 1 species
CUUUGCUUAGAUUCUGUUCCCCAUUGCUUUGACCCUUUCUGUUCCCUGACAGCUGCCUGUGCCUUCCUGCUGGGCCUCAACUUAGAGUGUCUGUUAUUUGUGGUCAAGUAUUAUAAUUCAGCCUCUUGGUAUCCUCUACAGGUGCCAGAAUAGAGGCUUAAGUGGAGUAGGUAUUCAAUAACAGCACUGAACGUUUCACCCAGAAGAGAUCAUUCUCUCAAUAAUUUGAACUUUAAUAUUAAAUUCCAAACCCAGUUUCUAGCUGAGUGCCCUCCUUUGCCAUUUUGUAAUAAUUUUGCUUUUAUUUCCAAGGAUUGCUGAGGCAGUGAAUUGGAGCGGCUAUGUAGUGCUUGCAACCAGUUACCGUAUUUCCCUGAAAGAAUCACCACCAACCAGCUCUUCCAGAAUUUAUGAGGUGCUUCCCUUAUCACCAGCCAUCUCACGCACACGUAGAUGUAGCAAGAGAAGCCUUCAGGAUGAUACAGAUGCACAUCUGGGAGGAAGAAAAACAUGAACGUCCAAGUGAGAUGUUUUCACAGAGGCCUCUUGGAGAUUUCCUGGAAGGCUCCAUGUUGCUUACAGAAGAGGUAGGUGGGAAGAACUUCUGUAAACAGGAAGCGAAAAAGAGCAAAACCGACCACUGAAAUGCCAGCGUCGAAUGGAGGAGGGGCAGCCCCAAGCUGACAGACCCUCCCUGAUUGCAGAGAGGGUCUGGUCCUGAGGGGAGGGGAGAGGAC